UACAGAGGUCUCAAGCGUUGUUCGGAUUCAUUGGGCGUAAAGGGUGCGUAGGUGGCGCCGUAAGUCGGGUGUGAAAUUUCGGAGCUUAACUCCGAAACUGCAUUCGAUACUGCGGUGCUUGAGGACUGGAGAGGAGACUGGAAUUCAUGGUGUAGCAGUGAAAUGCGUAGAGAUCAUGAGGAAGACCAGUGGCGAAGGCGGGUCUCUGGGCCGACACUGACGCUGAGGAGCGAAAGCGUGGGGAGCGAACAGG
rnacentral:rRNA from 1 species